rnacentral:rRNA from 1 species
ACGCUCGACACCUACGGGGGCAGCAGUGGGGAAUAUUGGGCAAUGGGCGCAAGCCUGACCCAGCAACGCCGCGUGAAGGAAGAAGGCUUUCGGGUUGUAAACUUCUUUUGUCAGGGAACAGUAGAAGAGGGUACCUGACGAAUAAGCUCCGGCUAACUACGUGCCAUCAGCCGCGGUAAUCUGAGCGGGCUGGCAAGGC